AGCUAGUCGAGAGUUGGAGUCGUUCCCUUGAUGAGUCCGUGGCAGACGAAACCAGUC
rnacentral:hammerhead_ribozyme from 11 species